GAGAGUAUCCUCAGGUGAGCGAGAGAACUCUCGUUAAGGAACUCGGCAAAAUGGCCCCGUAACUUCGGGAGAAGGGGCGCUGGUCGCAAGAUCAGCCGCAGUGAAAAGGCCCAAGCAACUGUUUAUCAAAAACACAGGCAUCUGCAAAAUCGUAAGAUGAAGUAUAGGUGCUGACACCUGCCCGGUGCUGGAAGGUUAAGAGGAGAGCUUAGCGCAAGCGAAGGUUUGAAUUGAAGCCCCAGUAAACGGCGGCCGUAACUAUAACGGUCCUAAGGUAGCGAAAUUCCUUGUCGGGUAAGUUCCGACCUGCACGAAAGGUGUAAUGAUUUGGGCACUGUCUCAACGAGAGACUCGGUGAAAUUAUAAUACCCGUGAAGAUGCGGGUUACCCGCGACAGGACGGAAAGACCCCAUGGAGCUUUACUGCAGUUUAAUAUUGGGUAUCUGUCAAGCAUGUACAGGAUAGGUAGGAGCCGGAGAAGAUAGGACGCCAGUCUUAUCAGAGGCGCUGUUGGGAUACUACCCUUGCUUGACGGAUGCUCUAACUCAGG
rnacentral:rRNA from 1 species